AUGCACCUCAGGCAGCAGCAGCAGCAGCACCACAGGGCGGAGAUGGUGGCGCCCAAGGGGUGCGUGACGGUGCGCGUGGGGGCGGAGGGGGAGGAGCAGCGCCGCUUCGCCGUGCCGCUCGACCACCUCAAGCACCCGCUCUUCGGGGCCCUGCUCGAUGAGGCCGAACGCGAGUACGGCUUCAGGCACCAGGGCGCCAUCGCCAUCCCCUGCCGCGUCGACCGCUUCGUCCACGUCGAGCGCCUCAUCGACCGCGACCUCGGCGCGCACGGCCACCAGCUCGUCGACCUCGACUGCGGCGCCGCCACCGCCCACGGCCACGGCCACCUCCACCUGCCGCGCUUCGUCGGCUGCUUCCGCGCCUGA
rnacentral:rRNA from 1 species